CCCUUAGAUGUCCUGGGCCGCACGCGCGCUACACUGAUGCAUGCAACGAGUUUAUAACCUUGGCCUGAAAGGUCUGGGUAAUCUUUUGAACGUGCAUCGUGAUAGGGAUAGAUUAUUGCAAUUGUUAAUCUUGAACGAGGAAUUCCUAGUAAACGCGAGUCAUAAGCUCGCGUUGAUUACGUCCCUGCCCUUUGUACACACCGCCCGUCGCUACUACCGAUUGAACGGUUUAGUGAGGGCCUCGGAUUGGUCUCGGCCCGCUCUUUACCGGGCGGCGCCGUUGGUCGAGAAGACGCUCGAACUUGAUCGUUUAGAGGAAGUAAAAGUCGUAACA
rnacentral:rRNA from 1 species